rnacentral:rRNA from 1 species
GACAGAGGUCUCGAGCGUUAGGCGGAAUUACUGGGCGUAAAGGGUUCGUAGGUGGCCAACUAAGUCAGACGUGAAAUCCCUCAGCUUAACUGGGGAACUGCGUCUGAUACUGGAUGGCUUGAGUGCAGGAGAGGAAUGCGGAAUUCCAGGUGUAGCGGUGAAAUGCGUAGAUAUCUGGAGGAACACCGGUGGCGAAGGCGGCAUUCUGGACUGCAACUGACACUGAGGAACGAAAGCCAGGGGAGCAAACGGG